rnacentral:rRNA from 1 species
UACAGAGGGUGCGAGCGUUAAUCGGAAUUACUGGGCGUAAAGCGCGCGUAGGCGGCUUUGCAAGUCGGGUGUGAAAUCCCCAGGCUUAACCUGGGAACUGCAUUCGAGACUGCAUUGCUAGAGUAUGGGAGAGGGAAGUGGAAUUUCCGGUGUAGCGGUGAAAUGCGUAGAUAUCGGAAGAACAUCAGUGGCGAAAGCGACUUCCUGGACCAAUACUGACGCUCAUGUGCGAAAGCGUGGGGAGCAAACAGGAUUGAGAUACC